GACGAACGCUGGCGGCGUGCUUAACACAUGCAAGUCGAACGGAAAGGCCCUGCUUGCAGGGUACUCGAGUGGCGAACGGGUGAGUAACACGUGGGUGAUCUGCCCUGCACUUCGGGAUAAGCCUGGGCAACUGGGUCUAAUACCGGAUAGGAGCCAUUUUUAGUGUGAUGGUUGGAAAGUUUUUUCGGUUUUGGAUGAGCUCGCGGCCUAUCAGCUUGUUGGUGGGGUAAUGGCCUACCAAGGCGGCGACGCGUAGCCGGCCUGAGAGGGUGGACGGCCACAUUGGGACUGAGAUACGGCCCAGACUCCUACGGGAGGCAGCAGUGGGGAAGAUUGCACAAUGGGCGCAAGCCUGAUGCAGCGACGCCGCGUGGGGGAUGACGGCCUUCGGGUUGUAAACUCCUUUCGCUAGGGACGAAGCUUUUUGUGACGGUACCUAGAUAAGAAGCACCGGCUAACUACGUG
rnacentral:rRNA from 1 species